AGCAAAAUCAAAGUGACAGCAAGAAUGCCAGACUCAAGGAUAGCACCCAGGGCUGCUGUACCCCAGCAUCACCUACUUUGCCUCGUUUGACCUUCCAACCAGAAGAGGGCAGAAGGCCAUGGCCACUGGAGAGAAGCCCCAGGGGCUGAAAGGCCCAUGAGUGGAUGUUGAUUCUGGAUCAGAAUUAGGCCUUGUUUCUGUGUCCCCAGCACACAGACAAGGCCUUGUGGGCUCUCCACGGCUGGGCUGGAACAGGCUUUUGAUUUUUUACCACUCCUGGCUGGAGGACUUGCUGGUUAAGCUGUGUGGAGUGUUUACUUUUUCAACAAUGGCAGCAGGCUGAAGAAGAGGAAAAAACCUGGCCUUUUCUCCUGACCUAGCAGACCAGCGUCCCCUUAGUAACCAAAAUGCCCCUAGCACCGGGCUCCAGGCAGGAGCUGGGUCGGCAUAGUUUCCUCUUGUAGGACAAUGCUGCCCUCCUGGUGGCAAGGGCUCUUCCAAAGGGACUGGCACAGGCUCAAGGGCCUUCCUGAAGCUCAAUGUUCCCAAGGAAAGAAUUGGAGGCUGGUUUGGCUGGAUGGUGCUCUACCCCUGAAAGGCUCAAGCCAAAAAGGAGAAUGAAGAAAGGGCCACUUUGAGGGUAGAGCUGUGUGUACUUGUCUCCAGGGCCCAGCACAGAGCCCGACACAAGGCAUGCGCUCAUUAGCUGGAGAACAAGUGAGCCCGGAUCCACUCUGCGGGGAGGCCGGCCUUGCAGCAGAUGUCAGCGUCAGCCCGGACGGACAACAGGAGUCCAACGUAAGCAAACCGGAGUCUGCUCAAGGAAGUGCGAUGGGAAUAACAAUAAUGAUGGCAAUGAUAACAAUCAUGUAAAAUUAUCAUGAUUAAUUAGUGUAGAAUUAAUUCACAGUGGACAUAAGCCAUUAAUGUGGUGAUUAAGACUGUGGGUUCUGGAAUGAGACAGCCAGACUCAAGCCUUGCCUCUGCAAUAUGUAUCUCCAGCAAUUCUUUCCUCUGCACCUCAGUUUUCUUAUCUAUGAAAUGGGGAUAAUGCUUCACAGCUGUUUGCGAGGAUUUAGAGAAGUGACAUGUGUGUGUGAAGAAUUUAUACAAUUCCUGAUUACACUAAACAAUCAAUAAAUUUUAGGUUACCUUCAA